rnacentral:rRNA from 1 species
GAUUCUUGGUCAUUUAGAGGAAGUAAAAGUCGUAACAAGGUUUCCGUAGGUGAACCUGCGGAAGGAUCAUUAUCGAAUAAAAUUGAACAGGUUGUUGCUGGCCCUCUGGGGCAUGUGCACGCUUGUCCAAUCUUUAUCAUUUCUCCAACCUGUGCACUUAUUUGUAGACCGUUAGAUUUGGGGACUGCUGUGCUUUUUAUCAGUCGGCUUUCCCUUUGUUUUUUUUUAAAUGUCUAUAUGAUUUUCACAAUCUCAUAAAUGUCGAAUGUAUGUUAAAAUGAAACAAAUAUAUACAACUUUCAGCAACGGAUCUCUUGGCUCUCGCAUCGAUGAAGAACGCAGCGAAAUGCGAUAAGUAAUGUGAAUUGCAGAAUUCAGUGAAUCAUCGAAUCUUUGAACGCAUCUUGCGCUCCUUGGUAUUCCAAGGAGCAUGCCUGUUUGAGUGUCAUUAAGUUCUCAACCACAUAUUUUUUGUGGCUUGGAUUGGUGGGAUGUUGCCGGCUUUUAUAUAAGUAAGGCUCUCCUUAAAUGCAUGAGUGGUGUUUAGAAAUGCUACUUGUUGGGUGUUUAUAAAUUGAUAAUACACCUUUUUGGCAAAUUCUAUUAUACUGCUUCCAACACUUUUUUUAAUGAUUUUGACCUCAAAUCAGGUAGGACUACCCGCUGAACUUAAGCAUAUCAAUAAGCGGAGGAAAAGAAACCAAC